ACAAUGGGAGGGCUGGAAAAAAUAGAGCAAAGAAAGGUGACCUCCAUUUUCUUCCCUCUUUGCUCAUCUUUAUUACCUCGUCUCUUCCUAAAAUCACCGUGAAAGCUCAUCCAUAAAGCUACUAAACCACCUGAAAACACACACUUACAGAGAUAUACAAGAGAGAGGAAAGAGACGGGGAAAAACACACACUCGCCGACGAGGUUUAGUUUAGAGGCUCCGUUUCCAAGUUUCUUUGGCCGUUAAAUUUCAACCGUAUUCGACAUCAAAAUAUUUAGCAUAGAGGUCAGCUUAUUUUUCUUUUUCUCCACGAAUUGUUUCGAUCUUUCUUCUUCUAAAUAGCUGGUCACUAAUUAAAUGGUACAUAUUUUGUUAUUUGGAUUUGCCGUCUUGUGUUAACGAGUGUGCAAUGUUGAGUUUUGGUUAUUUAAGUUUGUGUAAUUAAUGUUGAGUUUUCUUAUUUAAUCAAUGUUGAGUUGCUAUUACGUUCAUAUAAUUAAAAGAAGUUUGGUUCUAUUAUGUGAUUUAUCAAUGAUGAAUAUUAUGUUAGUGGAUUUCUCCUUAAUCUAAUGCAUUUGUUUAAGUUGCUUGUUAGAAGUUCUCUAUAAGAAUCGUUUUGUAUGCCGGAUUUUUAAGAGAGAGAGAAAUUAAAAUUAGGUUCUAGGUAAAUUUGUGGGCCAUGGGAAGUGACUGAAGAAUUAAAAAUUGGUGACCUUUUUAUACUUAAAAGUAUUGAGUUGAAUUAGUUUUGGCAAAACAAUAAAGUCAUCUUAUAUGCUAUUUGAAAUUUUAUUAUUGUUAUGUUUAGUUAAUUAUUUUGUAUAAACAAAUUUUAUUUACAAAAUAUUUACAAUCCAUCCUAAAAGACUUGCAAUCUAUUAUUUGUGCGCCUUCGAUCAAGAAAUCUAAUUAUACCAUUUUCCUUUUUUCUUUCCUCUCUCCCCUCUUUUCUCCAAAUUUCGUCUUUCUCCUUUAUUUUCUCGAAUUCCUACAAUACAACAUAAAAAAAACUCCUAUAGUUGUAAAUCCUAAUCAGCAAAGUGCAAAGUGGAGAAUCAAGGAUUACUGAGCAUGCUUGAAAAUCACCUCUUUGUAAAGUAGUGAGCUGAUGGUGGGAACACACAAGAAAAGCCAUGCAACACCGUUGAACUGUACGAUAGCAAAUUGAGUAGUCAGAAGAGAGAAUGCAAUCAAGUUGUAUACGACAAUGAUAUACGAAAACAACGUAUACCUAAUUAGUAUCUCGUCUAAUCUCGAAGAAGUAGAGACGAGAGGUCGACUUCAACACUUACUAGAGGUCCAAUAAUGAUAUGUCUGUAAUAUAAUGAAUCAACCAUUUAUAUAAAUAGGAUUAUAAUUAAAUAGAGUGAAACAUGUAAAC
rnacentral:lncRNA from 1 species